rnacentral:tRNA from 1 species
GGAGAAGUGUCCGAGUGGUUGAAGGAGCACGCCUGGAAAGUGUGUAUACGUUCAUAGCGUAUCGAGGGUUCGAAUCCCUCCUUCUCCGCCA